rnacentral:rRNA from 1 species
CAGCAGCCACGGUAAUACGGAGGGUGCAAGCGUUAAUCGGAAUUACUGGGCGUAAAGCGCACGCAGGCGGUCUGUCAAGUCAGAUGUGAAAUCCCCGGGCUUAACCUGGGAACUGCAUUUGAAACUGGCAGGCUAGAGUCUUGUAGAGGGGGGUAGAAUUCCAGGUGUAGCGGUGAAAUGCGUAGAGAUCUGGAGGAAUACCGGUGGCGAAGGCGGCCCCCUGGACAAAGACUGACGCUCAGGUGCGAAAGCGUGGGGAGCAAACAGGAUUAGAUACCCGCGUAGUCCCUGUCUCUUAUAA